UAGGGAAUAUUGCACAAUGGGGGAAACCUUGAUGCAGCAAUACCGCGUGAAUGAUGAAGGCCUUCGGGUUGUAAAGUUCUGUCCUAGGGGAGGAAUAAUGACAGUACCCUAGAAGAAAGCACCGGCUAACUCCGUGCCAGCAGCCGCGGUAAUACGGAGGGUGCAAGCGAUAAUCGGAAUUAUUGGGCGUAAAGAGAUCGUAGUUGGUUUAGAAGGUCAUGUGUGAAAGCCCUGGGCUCAACCUAGGAAUUGCAUAUGAAACCUCUGAACUAGAGUACUAUAGAGGUAAUGUGGAAUUUCUCGUGGAGCGGUGAAAUGCGUAGAUAUGAGAAGGAACAUCAGUGGCGAAGGCGACUUACUGGAUAGAUACUGACAAUGAGGAUCGAAAGCGUGGGUAGCAAACCGG
rnacentral:rRNA from 1 species